rnacentral:sRNA from 1 species
UCAUAGCCCCUGACGCACCUCAUAUGGGU